rnacentral:rRNA from 1 species
GUGGCGAAGGCGGCCCCCUGGACAAAGACUGACGCUCAGGUGCGAAAGCGUGGGGAGCAAACAGGAUUAGAUACCCUGGUAGUCCACGCCGUAAACGAUGUCUACUUGGAGGUUGUGCCCUUGAGGCGUGGCUUCCGGAGCUAACGCGUUAAGUAGACCGCCUGGGGAGUACGGCCGCAAGGUUAAAACUCAAAUGAAUUGACGGGGGCCCGCACAAGCGGUGGAGCAUGUGGUUUAAUUCGAUGCAACGCGAAGAACCUUAC